rnacentral:rRNA from 1 species
CACUAACAUAAGUAGUUUGAAUCAUGGCUCAGGACGAACGCUGGCGGCGUGCCUAAUACAUGCAAGUCGAGCGGACAGAAGGGAGCUUGCUCCCGGAUGUUAGCGGCGGACGGGUGAGUAACACGUGGGUAACCUGCCUGUAAGACUGGGAUAACUCCGGGAAACCGGAGCUAAUACCGGAUAGUUCCUUGAACCGCAUGGUUCAAGGAUGAAAGACGGUUUCGGCUGUCACUUACAGAUGGACCCGCGGCGCAUUAGCUAGUUGGUGAGGUAACGGCUCACCAAGGCGACGAUGCGUAGCCGACCUGAGAGGGUGAUCGGCCACACUGGGACUGAGACACGGCCCAGACUCCUACGGGAGGCAGCAGUAGGGAAUCUUCCGCAAUGGACGAAAGUCUGACGGAGCAACGCCGCGUGAGUGAUGAAGGUUUUCGGAUCGUAAAGCUCUGUUGUUAGGGAAGAACAAGUGCAAGAGUAACUGCUUGCACCUUGACGGUACCUAACCAGAAAGCCACGGCUAACUACGUGCCAGCAGCCGCGGUAAUACGUAGGUGGCAAGCGUUGUCCGGAAUUAUUGGGCGUAAAGGGCUCGCAGGCGGUUUCUUAAGUCUGAUGUGAAAGCCCCCGGCUCAACCGGGGAGGGUCAUUGGAAACUGGGAAACUUGAGUGCAGAAGAGGAGAGUGGAAUUCCACGUGUAGCGGUGAAAUGCGUAGAGAUGUGGAGGAACACCAGUGGCGAAGGCGACUCUCUGGUCUGUAACUGACGCUGAGGAGCGAAAGCGUGGGGAGCGAACAGGAUUAGAUACCCUGGUAGUCCACGCCGUAAACGAUGAGUGCUAAGUGUUAGGGGGUUUCCGCCCCUUAGUGCUGCAGCUAACGCAUUAAGCACUCCCCGCCCG